rfam:Equus caballus chromosome X, whole genome shotgun sequence.
GGAGCCAUAGGGAGGGAUACCAAUGCGGCCUUAGGAAAAGAAACCUGUUAUGGGAAUCUUGGAGAUUGGCGACCAUCCUAAUGACUUA